UUGACAAUAUCAACUUGUAAAUGAAGAGGUAUAAACAAAUCAUCUUAGUUUCCUCCCCGCCAAACCAGUGGAAUAAAAUAAUAUCCUGAAUGAUUGAUACUCUUGCAGAAAUACUUUCAGAGCCCGCCUGGAGUUUCCUGUCAUGUGUACUUUUCAUUGGCAGUUCACAACAUGGCAGCUUGCUUCUUCAAGGCCAGUAGAAGGAAAAUCUGCUAGCAAGAUGGAGGCUUAUAUAACAUCACACAAUCGUUGGAGUAACUGACUUCCCAUCACCUUUACCAUAUUAUGUUAAUUAGAAGCAAGUCACAAGUCUAUCUACAUUCAAGGGGAGAUAGUUACACAAAGGCAUGAAUGCCAAGAGUACUUUUCUCAAUACUCUGGGAGAACACAGCCUGUAUUAAAAAUGCUUUUACUGUUGAAAUGAAAUAAGUCACCUCUACAGUUCUUAAAGCGCUAAUGCAGCAAUUCAUAGUCGGAGAUUAUUUCUGCACACCAGGGUUUUUGGCUGGAGAACAUGUUUCAUAAUUGGUCUUGGCACAAU